GCCUGGGUGGCUCAGUCGGUUAAGCCUCUGACUUCCGCUCAGGUCACGACCUCACAGUUCGUGGGUUCGAGCCCCGUGUCGGGCU
rfam:Felis catus isolate Cinnamon breed Abyssinian chromosome D1, whole genome shotgun sequence.